UCUUCAAUAACCUAUUUUUGCUCAAUUACGGGCUGCUUAACGAGAAGUUCGAUUGCUGGUAUCUCCGUCUUAACGCAGUAGAAGACACCGGAGUCUGAGACCUCGAUGAUCGAUUGGACCGGUCUCAAGUAUCGUUCGAAAGCCUUCUUCACUAUUCAUUUUGGGAAACUUUCAAACUUUCGAUUUUGUGAAAUUGAGCUCACUUGAUCAGAUCGGAGGAUCCGAUUGAGCAAUCAGAGAUAUAUGAGAGAUUAAGCUCCAGAGUGAGAGACAGAUAGGGAGGGGACUUUUCUCUGCCAAUCAGAAGAAAAUGAUUUGCUGAGGGAAAGUCUAGAGAGGAGGAAGGGAUGUCUUGGUCGAUUUCAGUCUGUUCCCAAUUUGGGAAUUUCUGUUUCACAUUCAAAGUUUCAAUCUUUAAAGGCAAUGGCAGUCUCCCCAAGCUAAAGACUCCCCCUCUGAGGAGUGUAUUGAAGCACGGUUGAGAUAUCUCAAAAGCCAGAAAGAGAAACUCAAAUCUUGCAUUAUAUAUGACUGAUCUUCAGUGCUUUGUAAACUCGAAACAAUUUUAGGGACAUGAAACUUUGUCUUUUAUUGUAAAUUGUUUGCAACAACAAACCCCGCAGCAAAGCGCGGUACCAUUACUAGUUAAUAUGAAGCCUGGACCAACUUCAGAGAGGAAUUUUGGUCUCUUUCAACCAAAUGGAACUAAAGCCUACAAUCUGGGCUUGACCUCAACUACUAAUUCAAUUCAUACGACUAAUUCCUCAGGCACCAGGGUAGCAACAAUAGGAAGCUGGGUGUACUUGAUCAUGUUUGUUGCUUUGCUGACCUUCGAAGUAUGAAAUUGGCUUCUCUGCUAUAACUAUAAUUUGCUAGAAAAAAAAGUGCAUCAUCUGGCCCUUAAAACUUCUUGAUGUUUCUUGAUGUGACAUCAGCUGACCCUUAAAACUAUAUCUGACGGUUGUGAUAGAAUCCAAGCAAAUUAUAGCAUGUCAUAUUAUAGCAGAG